rnacentral:pre_miRNA from 1 species
AAUAUAUGACGCCGUUGACUUUUUAUCUAACAUUUGACCAUUCGUUUUAUUUAAAAAUUUAUAUAAUUAUCAUUUAUUUCAUUGUGACUUGAUCAUCAUCAAAUGUUCUUUAAGCAUGACAUAAAUAUUUUCAUAUUUGCAAAAAAAAAAUUUAAAUAAAACGAAUGGUUAAACGUUAGUCAAAAAGUCAACGGCGUCAUACAUU